CGCGGGAUGGAGCAGCCCGGUAGCCCGUCAGGCUCAUAACCUGAAGGUCGUAGGUUCAAAUCCUACUCCCGCAACCA
rnacentral:tRNA from 1 species